GAACGCGAAGAACCUUACCAGGUCUUGACAUCCCUCUGACCGCUCUAGAGAUAGAGCUUUCCUUCGGGACAGAGGUGACAGGUGGUGCAUGGUUGUCGUCAGCUCGUGUCGUGAGAUGUUGGGUUAAGUCCCGCAACGAGCGCAACCCCUAUUGUUAGUUGCCAUCAUUCAGUUGGGCACUCUAGCGAGACUGCCGGUAAUAAACCGGAGGAAGGUGGGGAUGACGUCAAAUCAUCAUGCCCCUUAUGACCUGGGCUACACACGUGCUACAAUGGCUGGUACAACGAGUCGCGAGUCGGUGACGGCAAGCUAAUCUCUUAAAGCCAGUCUCAGUUCGGAUUGUAGGCUGCAACUCGCCUACAUGAAGUCGGAAUCGCUAGUAAUCGCGGAUCAGCACGCCGCGGUGAAUACGUUCCCGGGUCUUGUACACACC
rnacentral:rRNA from 1 species